AGAGUUUGAUCCUGGCUCAGAUUGAACGCUGGCGGCGUGCCUAACACAUGCAAGUCGAACGGCAGUUGAUAGAGCUUGCUCUCUUGAUAGCGAGUGGCGGACGGGUGAGUAAUGCAUCGGGACCUACCCAGACGUGGAGGAUAACCUCGGGAAACCAGGACUAAUACCGCAUACGUCCUAUCGGAGAAGGGGGGGGACCUUUUGGCCUCUCGCGGUUGGACGGAUCGAUGUGCGAUUAGCUAGGUGGCGGGGUAAUGGCCCACCAAGGCAACGAUCCGUAGCUGGUCUGAGAGGAUGAUCAGCCACACUGGGACUGAGACACGGCCCAGACUCCUACGGGAGGCAGCCCUGGGGAAUAUUGGACAAUGGGGGCAACCCUGAUCCAGCAAUGCCGCGUGUGUGAAGAAGGCCUUCGGGUUGUAAAGCACUUUUAUCGGGAACGAAACAUUGUCGGCUAAUACCCGGCAAGACUGACGGUACCCGAGGAAUAAGCACCGGCUAACUCCGUGCCAGCAGCCGCGGUAAUACGGAGGGUGCUAGCGUUAAUCCGAAUUACUGGGCGUAAAGCGUGCGCAUGCGGUUUGUUAGAUCUGUUGUGAAGUCCCCCAGCUCAACUUGGGAAUUGCAAUGGAUACUGGUAAGCUGGAGUAUGGUAGAGGAAGGUGGAAUUCCCGGUGUAGCAGUGAAAUGCGUAGAGAUCGGGAGGAACACCAGUGGCGAAGGCGGCCUUCUGGACCAAUACUGACGCUCAUGCACGAGAGCGUGGGGAGCAAACAGGAUUAGAUACCCUGGUAGUCCACGCCCUAAACGAUGCGAACUGGAUGUUGGUCUCAACUCGGAGAUCAGUGUCGAAGCUAACGCGUUAAAUUCGCCGCCUGGGGAGUACGGUCGCAAGACUGAAACUCAAAGGAAUUGACGGGGGCCCGCACAAGCGGUGGAGUAUGUGGUUUAAUUAGAUGCAACGCGAAGAACCUUACCUGGCCUUGACAUGUCCGGAAUCUUGCAGAGAUGCGGGAGUGCCUUUGGGAAUAUGAACACACAGGUUGCAUGGCGGUGUUCACCUCUUGUCUUGAGAUAUUGUGUUAAAUCUCCCAACGAGAGCAACCCCUGUCCUUAGUUUCCCCCGAGUAAUGUCGGGAACUUUAAGGAGACUGCCGGUGACAAACCGGAGGAAGGUGGGGAUGACGUCAAGUCCUCAUGGCCCUUACGGCCAGGGCUACACACGUACUACAAUGGAUGGUACAAAGAGCUGCAAACCCGCGAGGGUAAGCGAAUCUCAUAAAGCCAUUCUCAGUUCGGAUUGUAGGCUGCAACUCGCCUACAUGAAGCCGGAAUCGCUAGUAAUCGUGGAUCAGCAUGCCACGGUGAAUACGUUCCCGGGCCUUGUACACAC
rnacentral:rRNA from 1 species